rnacentral:rRNA from 1 species
UACGGAGGGUGCAAGCGUUAUCCGGAUUCACUGGGUUUAAAGGGUGCGUAGGUGGUUUUGUAAGUCAGCGGUGAAAGCCCGGAGCUCAACUCCGGAACUGCCGUUGAUACUGCUCAACUUGAAUCAAGUAGAGGUGGAUGGAAUAAUACAUGUAGCGGUGAAAUGCUUAGAUAUGUAUUAGAACACCGAUUGCGAAGGCAGUUCACUAUGCUUGUAUUGACACUGAGGCACGAAAGCGUGGGGAUCAAACAGGAUUAGAUACCCUGGUAGUCCACGCCCUAAACUAUGUAUACUCGACAUAUGCGAUACACUGUAUGUGUCCAAGCGAAAGCGUUAAGUAUACCACCUGGGAAGUACGACCGCAAGGUUGAA